UACGAGUGCUCCAAGCGUUAUCCGGAAUCAUUGGGCGUAAAGGGUGCGUAGGUGGUUGUGUUAGUCUUCUGUCAAAUUCUUCGGCUUAACCGGGGGUCCGCAGAGGAAACGGCACAACUAGAGGAUGCGAGAGGUGAAUGGAACUCAUGGAGUAGGGGUGAAAUCCGUUGAUAUCAUGGGGAACACCAAAAGCGAAGGCAAUUCACUGGCGCACUCCUGACACUGAGACACGAAAGCGUAGGUAGCGAAUGGG
rnacentral:rRNA from 1 species